rnacentral:rRNA from 1 species
GAUGAACGCUGGCGGCGUGCCUAAUACAUGCAAGUCGAGCGAACGGACGAGAAGCUUGCUUCUCUGAUGUUAGCGGCGGACGGGUGAGUAACACGUGGAUAACCUACCUAUAAGACUGGGAUAACUUCGGGAAACCGUAGCUAAUACCGGAUAAUAUUUUGAACCGCAUGGUUCAAAAGUGAAAGACGGUCUUGCUGUCACUUAUAGAUGGAUCCGCGCUGCAUUAGCUAGUUGGUAAGGUAACGGCUUACCAAGGCAACGAUGCAUAGCCGACCUGAGAGGGUGAUAGGCCACACUGGAACGGAGACACGGUCAAGACUCCUACGGGAGGCAGCAGUAGGGAAUCUUCCGCAAAGGGCGAAAGCAUGACGGAGCAACGCCGCGUGAGUGAUGAAGGUCUUCGGAUCGUAAAACUCUGUUAUUAGGGAAGAACAUAUGUGUAAGUAACUGUGCACAUCUUGACGGUACCUAAUCAGAAAGCCACGGCUAACUACGUG